rnacentral:rRNA from 1 species
AGUGAACGCUGGCGGUAGGCCUAACACAUGCAAGUCGAACGGCAGCACAGUAAGAGCUUGCUCUUACGGGUGGCGAGUGGCGGACGGGUGAGGAAUACAUCGGAAUCUACUUUUUCGUGGGGGAUAACGUAGGGAAACUUACGCUAAUACCGCAUACGACCUACGGGUGAAAGCAGGGGAUCUUCGGACCUUGCGCGAUUGAAUGAGCCGCUGUCGGAUUAGCUAGUUGGCGGGGUAAAGGCCCACCAAGGCGACGAUCCGUAGCUGGUCUGAGAGGAUGAUCAGCCACACUGGAACUGAGACAGGGUCCAGACUCCUGCGGGAGGCAGCAGUGGGGAAUAUUGGACAAUGGGCGCAAGCCUGAUCCAGCCAUACCGCGUGGGUGAAGAAGGCGUUCGGGUUGUAAAGCCCUUUUGUUGGGAAAGAAAAGCAGCAGGUUAAUACCCCGCUGUUCUGACGGUACCCAAAGAAUAAGCACCGGCUAACUUCGUG